rnacentral:tRNA from 1 species
GGGAGAUUAGCGCAGUUGGUAGAGUACCUGCCUUACAAGCAGAGGGUCAUAGGUUCGAGUCCUAUAUCUCCCACCA